rnacentral:rRNA from 1 species
AUGGGAGUGCAUGGUGGGACUCAUGCCCACCAGCGUUCCUGCUCCGCCAGCCCCCGUGGACCCGCUGUCGUACCUGUUGCCGGAGCCAGCAUCAGGCUGAAGCUGCGGUCAGUUAGUAGGGGAGGGGGUCUGCUUCUGCGGUUACCUUGCUUGAGAAGGGAAGCGCUGCAGAUGCUGGACACGGUCUCCUUGGAGGCUGGUUUUGGGCGCUCUGUGACUCAGGGGAUGAUGAUAUGGAUUGUGAAGAGGAUGAAGUCAUCCCCAGGGAUUUUCGUUAGCCUGUUACUUUUAGGGAUGUGCUAA